rnacentral:rRNA from 1 species
CCUACGGGGGGCAGCAGUGAGGAAUAUUGGUCAAUGGCCGGAAGGCUGAACCAGCCAUGCCGCGUGAAGGUCAGUGCCCUAUGGGCGUUAAACUUCUUUUGUGCGGGAGCAAUAAUGGUCACGUGUGGCCAGACGAGAGUACCGUACGAAUAAGCAUCGGCUAACUCCGUGCCAGCAGCCGCGGUAAUACGGGGGAUGCAAGCGUUAUCCGGAUUUAUUGGGUUUAAAGGGUGCGUAGGCUGUGAGGUAAGUCAGCGGUGAAAUGCCCCCGCUCAACGGGGUGAAGUGCCAUUGAUACUGCCUGGCUUGAAUGCGGAUGCCGUGGGAGGAAUGUGUGGUGUAGCGGUGAAAUGCAUAGAUAUCACACAGAACACCGAUUGCGAAGGCAUCUCACGAAUCCGCGAUUGACGCUGAUGCACGAAAGCGUGGGUAUCAAACAGGAUUAGAUACCCGUGUAGUC